AUCUAUUGGCUAACUGUGCAGAACCGAAGCAUAAUUGAAAUAGAAAUGGUUAUUGAACCACCCAAGCGCAGAUACAGAAAAGAUUGUCCAAUAAUCGACAAAUUCAUCAACCAAGAGAAGUAAACCGAAUGUGGGCCCAAAAAAAUUAAGAGAAAAAACAGGAAUGAAGAAUCGCAAAUUUCAACAAAUUUCAACCACACAAAGAAGAACAAAAUUCAAUCCCCAAUUCACUGAAUACAAACCUCUCUGAAAUCAAAUAAGAAACACAUAAAGUGCACACAAAAAAACCAACUAAGAAAGAAAGAUCUGUUGGGCUUACCACAGAGCAAGAG
rnacentral:lncRNA from 1 species